GUUGCCAACCAUGUAACAAAAAGUCCCUAACGUCCAAAGUUUUAAGUUUGCCGACAAAAAUAGAACAAAAAACAUAAUUAGUGGUUUUGUGUCCAGAAACGUGCCCCCAAUUGAUCGGCUGGAGAGGAAGACUUGUAGUGCCUGCGGUCCAUCUGCAGUGGCUGCGCCCCCCGCUCCGACGCGUUGUAAGCUCUCUCCUCUCCCAAUGCGGGGGGCCUCGGCAAAGUGUAGUCGAAAGUGCCUUCAUAGAUGUGCUGUUUGCCACUGGACCUGCUCUUUUCCCGGUCGUUCAUGUUGAGAGAGGCCCCCGAUACGAGCCGAGCGAGAUGGGGCACUUACAGGGGGCGGAACGCCUCGGAUUCAUCAUGAAAACUGAAAAAAAAUUUUUUUCGAAAAAUUUUUUUUUUACAAAAAAAUUGUCUAGGGGGCCCGUGGACCCCUCCCGAUAAUCCCCGCAUCGUGGAACAAUUCAAAUAUGGACGCUAGAGCGAGUGCCCCUUGGGGAGUGGUAGACUCUUCGAUCAAUACCCGAAGAGCAUCUGAACAAAACCAUACAAUGCGCAGCCCUAUUCAUUUCUUCUGCUCGCAUUAUUUCGUAAUGGAUCCCCGGUAGGAAAAAAUCAAAACCUGUCAUAUCCAAUUACAUCACUUUACCAUGAUGUAAUUUCGGCUAGAACGCAAUCAGGCGAACGAAACAGCCAAACCAUGCAAAACAUACCGCAUUUCAUCAACGGGGAGCCCCACUGAAAUAUUAUUAUGAAACGGCACUAAACACACAAUACACCCCUUAUCCUAUUAUUACGAAAAAAUUAUUUUUAUUUUAUUAAUAUCGCAUUCAGCUGCCACUUAAAUCAGACCCGAAGCGUCCGUUAUGAUGGACAGGCGAAUAGGAAAUGUUCAAAUGCUGCAAUGAACAACUGGAUAAAGUCCUAAGAGUUCCUUCGAUCGAUGACUCAUUAGACAAAAGGGGGCUCCACGCUCUUUUCAAGCCACCAGAUCCUUUUUCACAACAGUCCUAAGGCUCAUUUUUAUUACUUAAGCCAGAUAUUGCCAUGGAAAUAGAGAGAGAAAUGAGAGUGGUUGGAGGCACCAUCGAUCGAUUGGACCACAUCUUAAAAAAAGCCAAAGGCUUUUGUGAGCAAUCGACGCAUAAUGAGGGGCAUGCAGGGGCUGGAACGCCGUCAGGAAGUCACAAGGGCACAAGAUUUGAGACAAAAGAAACAAAUUUUGCAUAAUUAAACAUUUAAAAAAUUAA